rnacentral:tRNA from 1 species
GGAGGAAUGGCUGAGUGGUCGAAAGCGGCGGUCUUGAAAACCGUUGACCUCAUGGGUCCGUGGGUUCGAAUCCUACUUCCUCCGCCA